UGACUGCAUUAGUGCGGAGGCAUUUUAGUGUUUAAAAAAAUCUGUCACUCUUAAUUGUGUUUGCAGACAGAAAACUCAAUUGCUGAUUCUUUCUAACUUUAAUGCAGAAAAGGUUAAAUUGACAAUAUACAGGAGGUAGCUUUGGAAGGUAUUUUUUGCAACUCAUCAAAGCACGUGAUAGAACACUAAGGAAAUCGGAGAUGAAAUAUACCAUUUGAAUCAUCUAAUCCAUACCUCUGACAAUGCAGGAAGCUUUUCCAGAGAGCCGGAGUUUUCCUUUUGUCCAUUUUAACUCCUGAAGCUGUGUGAGUCCUUCCAAGCUCAGCUCAAAAUGGGUUCACCCAUCUUUAGCGAAUGCUGAUUUACAAGGACUUUACAGACCCAAGAGAUCAAAAAGGUUUGUGCUCCUUCAGGCAUCUCAUCACAAUCCUCUAGGCAAGGUACAGAGGUUUACACCCAUAUCUCACACUAGUUGGCUGCUUUGAAAGAACGGAAAGUGGGAUUAUACAGCAGAAUUCUGAUCUCAGGGCUAAUUCAGAAUAGACCUGGAGACCUCAGUCUUGUGACUUAGACUGCCCCUGACAAAGUUGAAGCAGAUCUGAGAUAGUGAGGAUGAGGCUGAAUAUUCCUUUAUAGCUGAAAUUCCGAUGAUAAGCCUCUUGGCAGCAAAUGAGCACAGCAGGCAUUCCUUGGAUGAAGAAUAGGCUGUUUUCAGGUCACACAGCCUGCUGGUUGCUUAACCCUCUCUAGCUCAGUGUCACGCCCCUGUAAAGCAUCCCCGAAGAAAGAGCUUGACUGCAGAGACGAUUUCAAGGAUUUUAAGGCUGUUUAAAUGGAAGACCAGGUUCUCUGCUGGUAGAGGUCCAAAAGGUCACUCUCUUUAUUUGAAGGUGAGACCCUGGCCUGAAGGGUAGAACAGGCAACUAUAGAAGGCAGCUAACAGAAGGCCCUGGUUCCCAGGAUGUUAGAGUCAGCACCACAGAAGCCAGUGUAUGUAUCUUUUUCAGGGCUUAUGGAAGUAGAAAUAGCUCAGUACAUAAUGGAUCUGAAGCUCCAAACAUUUACCCAUUAAUGGAACUUCCCAUGGUAACAAAUAUCUGGUCCUACAUGUCUGCCAGAUCAUCCUCUACAUUGUUCGAUGCUUUGAUUAAUUUUUUAGCAGUUUCUUAUUGUUAUUGCUGUAUGAUCUGUGCUCCUGCCUAGCUGAAA